AAACGUUUGAGUGCGCGGGAACUACAACUUCUAGCUGCGGCUGGCGUUCCAGUAUCUUCGAAGAAAAGGUCAAAAACGAGUACCGACGUGAGUCAAGGGUUCUACUUCGAGUGCUGGACGUCGUUAAACAGGUUCUUCUGCACAGUGAGGUGGCUUAAUAGGCGGGCGGCUUCUGUGGCUGCAAGCACUUCCUCCAGUCGCUCCUUGGUGAGUGCAAACAUGUGCUCGCCUGUCAGCUCCUUGCAGAGUCCUUUCACCCUGUAUUAAAGAAAAAAGAAAAGUUUGCAUGUUCUCAG
rnacentral:lncRNA from 1 species